AGCAGUGGCACAGCCCGCCCCCGCUCGGGGUGGUACGGCCCAAGGCUUUAUAAGCGGCCGCCGAAAGGAUUCGCGCCCUUUCGUCCCAUGCCCUUGGAGCUGCUGAGGCCACCAUGGAGGCUGCAGCGGCGCCGGGACGCCGCCGGGACCGCGGAAACCUCUCCCCGCAGAAAGAUGUCGUGAAGUAAAGAAGCUGGGCCUGUGACACAGCAGGAGCAGCUGGGGAGAGGUGGCUCUGAUGUGAAGGUAGAGCCUGCAGGGCUGUGCUGGUGAUGUCCCCCCAUUGAUGGGACAGCUCUUCCCAAGUCCUGUGGAGGGCACUGGGACAGAGCAGGAGAAUCUGCUGGGUGGUGCUGCUGCAAACAUCUCUGAGGCAGAAGGACUCCAACACAGCACCUGGCCUUGAGGAGUUUGUGCAGACAGAACAUUUUUCUGCCUGUUACAGAGUGGUAACAGUUAAAAUGUUUUAUUACGUGUGCAUUAAAAUAAUUUUAAAAAUGAAAUAACACUGUUUGGUCACUUCACUGCAUUAGGGAAAGUGGGCACUCCUAUAAUGUGCUGUAAGGUGAAGAAGAUGUACCAAGAUUGCAAAAUUUUCACUGCAGAUGAUGCCAAUGGGGUUUAGGGUGGUAAUUAGAGUUUAAACAAGACACCAAGAGUGUAAUUAAUUACUGCACAGAGCAGCCCUUCAGUGCUCUGACAGCCAGAGCAGCAAAAUGCAGCUGCAUCUGUAGCUUGUUUGCAGGCUUGCUGUUUGUCAUUUUGAUCUCAAAAAUUAAAUUUAAAGUCUGCUGCAGAGGCAAAGUUCAAGGGUUAGGGGGAAUCUUGGCAACUUGGAGAUGCUUAAAAGAGUUAAAAAAGCCAGUGUUUGAGGCCAAAACUCCCAAUUAGCUUAAUUAUAUCAGUAGAACUGGCAGGUUCAACACUUCAGUGCUCCAAACAUCCAGAGUGAUGGUGCUGAGCCUUCUGCCCACCUGGUGUCAGCAGUGAGGGUUUAGGGUGUGCUUUUUUUCCAAAUUAAUGAAUAAUUAAACUAAUUCCUCACGAGCCUGUGGUCACUGCUGAGGGGGUAUCACAGUGAUCACUGCACAGCUCCAGGUGGGAGAGUUUGGGGUUGUUUUGCCUUCCCUGUGCAGUUCAGGUGAAGAUCUGAAUUGAUUUUCAUUCUGAUUUUCUGGCUGGAAGGUGCUGUGAGCUGGUGCUGCUCGUGUGGCAUCAGGGCAGUGUCCCUGUCCCUCCAAAAGCAGGGGUGAGGUGUAAAUUGCAUGAAAUGCAGAAUUUCAGGAGUUUCUUUUUGUGUUCAGAAAAACAGGCUCAGUGUUUUUCAGAGAAAUCUGGUUCUACAACAUGAAGGUAAAUUAAUCUGGAUUUUUUUUUCCCCUAGAAUUGUUACUGUAGUACAUCCAGGGCUUAAUAAAAACAUUCAGCCUGGGCAGUGGAGUAGGUAAAACAUUUGGAAUUAAUUAGUUGCUCUUCAUCUGAAAGGAUUUGAGCACUAUGACGAACAGGUUACUCCUCUGCUCUAUUAAAAUUUAAAAUUACAUUCUGUUCCCAGUGUUUUAAGAACCAAACUUAUUUUUCCCUGAUUUUAAGAGCUUGUGUAUUAGAACAUGUUUAUAUUUCUUAUCUCAUGCAGUGGGAAUAAAAAUGGGUUUAAAGCUCUCAAAAACCACAAAGAUCCACCUCCUUUAAAUGUGAAUCUGCAGACCAUGGAGGUAAAAGCAGCCACAUGCCCUCAGCAAACAGAAAUAAUCAGCAAAUUGUUUAAUGAGCUGUUUAAUUUGCUCAAGGAAGGUUUGCUGCAACUUGUUUGAAAGUUCUUGCUUUCUAAUGUUGAGAUUCUCUCAUUAAAACAGAGCAAAGUUGAUCUGGGAAAACUUGAAUAUUGAAUUUACCUGGGUUUAUUGAGGGUGCAGUUGGUGGUAUCUGCUAGAGAUAAAUAUUCAUGAGUUUCAUUUUAGCACCACUUGUUUAUUGUUCUAAUCAAAACCAAAGUUCCUCAGCAGGGAUCCUUUAGCAGGCUGGGGUUUUGCUGAGAUUAAUCAAUGGAAAAUGUUAUUUCUGUUAGAAAAUGGUGCCUUUCAAACAUAACAAAUGUCCUCAGUGUUUUACUGUGAUUUUCCAGGGGAGCACAGAUAAUUUCAUGGUGCUUGAGGGGAAGGGAAAUAAAACCAUUCUGUUUUGAUUACAUUUGGAGCACUUAAAACUUAGUGUUGGGGAAUAAACAGCAGACAAAAAUCUGGUUUUAAAACACAAUUAUUUUGGAUUUUCUAAAGGUUUCAAAAGAACAGUUGGCAGGAAUCCCUUUGGCACUCAACAGCAGCCAACAACCCUGGAUAAAUCUAAAAUAGAUGAAAAGAUUAAAGCAGAAAGAAAAAAUAUGCAACAAAGCAAAGAAUGGCUGAGUGCCAGCUUUUAGCAAUAAGAGAGAUGGCAAUGCUGUAUCUCAAAUCAGUGUUUGAGAGAGAACAUGGAGAUUAUCCCCAAAAUCUGGGCUGGGGGGCUGGAAUUGAGGAGGAGGAGAGGAUCCACAGCUUGUAAAUCACAAGCUUCACAUUUCACAUAAAUGCUGGUUAUCAUCCUCAUUUCUUGAUUAGUAUUGUAAAGCAAUCCUGUCUGCAGCAGCAUGAGAACCAUCACUGAUGCAAAGCCAUAAAUUACUGUAAUUAAUACAUGCCAGCCAUUAAUGCAAUGUAAAGAGCAGCUCUCUCUUGGCUUGCUGUUCCAGCUGAGCUGCAGCUCCUUAACCAGGAGGGAGGAAGGGAUAUCCUGUGUGUCUGAGCUUUGCAGAGUGCAAGAAAUCCUAAAUAUUCAAUAUUGACACUUCACUGCUUUUCCCCUCAGAGCAGGAGGAGCUGUGAAUUUUCCAACUCCCUCUCAGAGAUGUGAGGCACAGAGGAGCUGCUGUUGGUGUCGUGCCAGAAAAGAGUCCCAGCCCCCAGCCCUGCUGUUUCUGUGCCUGUGGUGGAGGGGAGCUCUGAGCCUGCAGGAAAGCAGAGCCUGGGAGAAUGCUGAGCCUUGGAAUUGAUCCUUUAACAAGCAGGUGGGUGCAGUGAAGAUGAAACAACAAUAAAAAAGGAAUGGUGAAGUUGUGCUCUUGGGAAGUGGUGUGGAAAUGCACAGAGCCCCAAGCAGAGCCUGUUCUGUGUUUGAGGCUUUUCCACCUCUGGGAUUUUCUGCUGUUUCUCUACAUGCAGAACUCCCAGCAGUGGGAUCAGGGUCCGAGCCUUGGGGCAGCAGCUCCCAGAGUGGGAUUGAUUUGAUUUUUCAGUGCUUUGGUUUUCAUUUCUAGAGGAGCUGGAACUGCAGCGCUCACCUGAGUGAGUGACCAGGCAGGGAGCAGCUGCCCAAGGGAAGCUCAUUCCUGGGUUCCACAUCUGUUACUGCCCAAUAUCCCAUAAUUUUCCAUCCAUCCCUGACUCUCUGCAUGUCUGUUCCAUAAAUUUGGGUCUGUAGGAAGAUGCUUUGAGGUUUUAUUUAUGUAGAUUGUGUUUAGGAUGGUUGUGAGUGCUGCUUGCAAAAUGCUGAUCACAAAGCUCCUCCCCAAAGCCUUUCCCAGAGCCAGAGGAACCCUGGAGAAGGACAGAGCUGGCAGGGAGAGCCAGGAAUGAAGUGGUUUUACAUCACACACCUCGAAAAUCCAGUGAUAAAUGCCCACACCAAACCUGCAGGGAAUUAAAUAUUAAUAUUUCUCUCCUCUUUUGUAAACCUCCAGUCUAUUUGUCCUUCCAAUUACAGCUCCCUGAGAGCUGCCACGUGCACUCACUGCAGGCUGGGAUUGCUCACCCCAACCUGCUGGAUGCAAACCAGCCCACAGGUUUAUUUUCUCCUCAGACUGAGUUAAUAAAAAGCAAAGAAAAAGGAUGGCCCAGAAGCCACAGGAUCAAUAAGCUGUUAGGAGCCAAGAAAACUCAGCAAACUGCACACAUAAUUAAAGGCUGUGUGAACAGGUUGCAUCUUUACUGACUCUAUUAAAUCAGCUCUUCAGUUUUAUGUAAAACAAUCAGCUGAGCUGAAGGUAAAACCAGCUGUGUCUCUGGGUAUUUACAGAGGGGGGAUAAAUACAGGGGGAUAAAAAAGUGGGAUAAAAAAUGCAUGGCCAGAACUGCCAGAAGGGACUGCAAACAAAGCACCUCCAGUUCCCCAUCCUUCAGGGGUAACUGAGCAUGGGCUGGUGGAGCUGGCACAGAAAUGACACUUUAUUCCUAAACACCUUUCCUGCAGUGAGCAAAGCUCUGGUGCUCCUCCCUGAGAACAAACCCUGUGCUAACAUUUUAUACAAACAGGUCCCAGAAUGGUUUGGGUUGGGGAAUUAAAGCCCAGUUCACUCCAGCAUUCUGCUGUGGGCAGGGACAAUAAUCCAGGUUGUUCCAAGUCCUGUCCAGCCUGGGGAUAUCCCUUCAUUUAUUCAUGAUAAUUAAUUAAUAUUAAUGUUAAUGUGCCUGGAGCUGGGCCCUCUGUAGGAAGUGAGGCUGGAGCCUGGCUGGAGGCACUCAGAGCCCUGGGAGGGGUGGCUCUGUCCUUCAGAAUUUCCUGUUAAAGACAUUUCAUAGCGCUGGAAAGCUCCUCUGCUCUUACAGCUGCUGGUGGAAAUCAUCCCAGGCACAGAAAAACCCCACUGUCCCUGGAGUGCAGGAAAAGUGGGAUCGAGGCUGACACCCCUGUACCAGAGAGGUGGGAGGAGAUUCCAUCUGUUGCUCACCAAGGAACUUUUCCUCAGAGGUUGGGUCAGUUGUUUUUACCCCUUUUCCCUCAGCUUUGAGAUGUGAAUUCUGCUAAUGAGGUCAGUUUGUUUCCCUGGCAAUGGCAGAUCCCAGCUGAUGGAGCCUCUGUGUUUCCAGGCCCUGAGUGCUGAGUGUG